CCUACGGGUGGCAGCAGUAGGGAAUCUUCCACAAUGGGCGCAAGCCUGAUGGAGCAAAACCGCGUGAGUGAAGAAGGGUUUCGGCUCUUAAAGCUCUGUUGUUGGAGAAGAACGUGCGUUAGAGUAACUGUUCACGCAGUGACGGUAUCCAACCAGACAGUCACGGCUAACUACGUGCCAGCAGCCGAGGUAAGACGUAGGUGGCAAGCGUUAUCCGGUUGUAUUGGGCGUAAAGGUAGGGCAGGCGGUUGAGUAGGUCUGAUGUGAAAGCCUGCGGCUUAACCGAAGAAGUGCAUCGGAAACUGGGCGACUUGAGUGCAGAAGAGGACAGUGGAACUCCAGGUGUAGCGGUGGAAUGCGUAGAUAUAUGGAAGAACACCAGUGGCGAAGGCGGCUGUCUGGUCUGCAACUGACGCUGAGGCUCGAAAGCAUGGGUAGCGAACAGGAUUAGAUACCCCAGUAGUC
rnacentral:rRNA from 1 species